rnacentral:rRNA from 1 species
UACGUAGGUGGCAAGCGUUGUUCGGAAUUACUGGGCGUAAAGGGCGCGUAGGCGGCCUGCUAAGUCGAACGUGAAAUCCCUGGGCUCAACCCAGGAACUGCGUCCGAUACUGGUUGGCUUGAAUCCGGGAGAGGGAUGUGGAAUUCCAGGUGUAGCGGUGAAAUGCGUAGAUAUCUGGAGGAACACCGGUGGCGAAGGCGGCAUCCUGGACCGGUAUUGACGCUGAGGCGCGAAAGCCAGGGGAGCAAACAGG